CAGCGGGGCCAAUGUGCUCGUGUGCCGCUCCUCCGCGCAUUGUCUGACACUUAGACUUGCCCACAAGGAUAUCGAUGCUCAAAAGACCCCACAUCUCCUUCCACUAUAAAAAUUAAAUGAAUGCUGGAGCCUGUGGGGUGAAGUGCUUUCCCUGGAUGCAGCGGCCGCUGCUAAUUUCCCGGAACAAUGUGGGCCACUCCAGGGCCAGUCCUGGGCACCCGAGGAGACACGCCUAUCACUUCUUCUGUUUUGGGAACCUCAGGUUCAUGUUCUGUUCACGGUGACCUCUCAGCAUAGGAAUCCUCUGCUCAUGUUGCCAAGAAGGGGCCAUGUGAAGUGACUGACCCAGAAUAGAAAUUCAAAGUAAUUAGACUAUAAAGGUAGAAAAUCAGUGCUGCUUCUUUCUCACCAGUCAGGUAAGUCCCAUACCACGACAGCUCCAAUUUUAGAGAACAAGAACAAAGGAAUAGAAGCUGUUAAAGGAUCUGCUUCAUCAAAGGGAAUGAAACUAAUAAAAAUUCAAGAAGAGCCUGGACCAGAGAUGGAAAAACUUCUAAUGACUGGAACUGAAGACCAGACACAGAAGUGAUCCCUCUCAAUGCAUGUUGACCACAGUCAAAGCAAAAAGUUUGCAAAAUGAAAAGGAAAGGCUGGACCCAAGCAUCACAUUGAACUUAUUGCUAGAUCUGGAUGAUACGAGCAAUUGAAGAAUCACUGCUUAACACAUACCUGAAAGUGGAUGGGUGGAUGGGGUCUCUGAGCACUGCCUCUCUCUCCCUGGGCCUGGCUCAGAGUGGCUGGGGUAGGUGAAGCCGAAGUGUUCCAUGCAGUGGACAGACUCGAUGUCUGGGAGUUCCCAAUUGGCCAUAGCAGUGGCAGGUCUUGGGUCUCAACAAAUAAAUGUAAUUUGGGGUUCAAGAUGCCAGAGAAGGUGGAAACUAGGAGGCUAUGAUGGCCAAGUUGGCAAUCGUGCACUGGUUUGGCUCCCAAGUCAAACAGAAGCUUUUCCUCUUCAUGUGGGUUAUAUCCCCUCCCAAACGGGUGGCAGGAAGGUGACCAGCAGGCAAAACCAUGGGAAAACAUCAAUAGAAAAGUUUAAGCCGGAGCCCCUCACAGCAUGAUUUAGAGCAGAGGCCAAGCCAGGAAAGGAAUGAGGAAAUUGUAAGC